ensembl:lncRNA
UGAAAGGGUUAGAAGUGAAUAAACGACAAGUUCAAGCUCAUCUGAUUUCUUUUGAUUUAUGCUGACCUUGAAAGAGAGAGAGGUCAUGCUGUUGGCAGGCAAUAAGAACUAAUCUGUUACUAAGCAACAAUGAAACUUUUGGUUUUUGUGAGAAAUUGCAUCAAAUUAUCACUCAACCCUUUUGUUGACCAAAACUUUUGUUUGUUUUCUGUUGGGUCAGAUGCCAUUUUGCCGUGCUGCUCCUCUGCUGUCUUCUGCCACAGAGCAACAAAAUGAAACAGAAUAUUGGUGGGGAGGUUGAAACUCUACUGCCAUACCAUUAAUAUCCACCUCUGAUGUAGUGGGCUAACAUAAUGAAGUAGGAGGCAUUAUUUUUGGAGCAGCCCUCAUGCAUUUUUCUGGUAUUUUUGUUACUUGUAUGUACUGAAAGCACCAAA